CAAGUAAACCGGGUGACCGCCCCGAUUCGCCCGAAAGGGCUCAUCGGGGAGGAAAGUCCGAGCUCCGCCGGGCAGGAUGCUGGGUAACACCCAGGAGGGGCGACUCUACGGAAAGUGCAACAGAAACAUACCGCCUCGAUUCGCCUGAAAGGGCUCAUCGGGGUAAGGGUGAAAUGGCGAGGUAAGAGCUCACCGGCGACCGGGUGACCGGUCGGCUGUGCAAACCCCAUCCGGAGCAAGACCGAAUAGAGGGACUAAGGGACGCCCGGCCCGUUCCCCGGGUUGGUCGCUCGACCCUUCCGGUAACGGAAGGGCUAGAUAGAUGGUCACCGUCCCCGAUUUUAUCGGGGGCACAGAACUCGGCUUACAGGUUUACCUGACCC
rnacentral:RNase_P_RNA from 2 species